rnacentral:sRNA from 1 species
AUUUGGUUUGCCAGAACCGCCUCCUUCAGGGACGUAAAUUUUUUUAAAAUUGAAAAAUUGCCACAAAAUUCUUCUGCUACUGUGGAUAUGGUAAAGACAGAUCAAAUUUUGUUUUCAAAAUUGUGGUCGCUACUGGGUGUAUGAAAUGAAUGAAUGAAUGAAUCUUGUAUUGCCAACACACUAUUUAAAAGUCUAUCUUAGUCUUUCAAAUCCAUCAAAAUGUGCUUGACUUUGCUAAUUUCUUAGUUUUAUAGAGAUAGUUUCGACGAAUCAGUUUCAGUACUAUAAAUUUAUUAAAUUUUAACAAAUUUUUACGAAGAGCCAUCUAUCUACAUGUAAAAAAAAUAAUUCGUUUUACAUAAAGGGAAUUUUUGGCAAGUAAACUUAUUUUCUGGAAAACAUUGGACUUUGUUACCGAUAAAAAUACAUAUUUGUUUUCGAUACAUUCUUGCGUAAAUAUAUGGCAAAUAUUAAGUUGUUUUUUACCCUGACAAUACCUUUCAUUCUUGAUAUAUCGAACAUGUUAUUUGGGGUGUCAACCAGUUUUUCUUUGUUUAUAAAUUAAUUUAACGUCAUGUUUAUGUAUUGUACAUAUAUGUAUAUUCUUUUUAAUUUUAAAAUAAAUUGCUCUUAUCGAAAAGGAUACCAAGUUCAUUCUAAGGCUGUAACUUAAUUUAAACUCAAGUUUUUACCAAUAAAAGGCAGAUCUCAUUUGGUAAUUCAAUCUCUUUAAGAGUUUAUUUGGUUUUAUUUCGAUGUUAUGAAGCACAAUUAUAUUGAAGGCCCUCCAGAUUUGCACAACUCCAUAUAUUUUUGUAUAAUGUUCUGCUGUAUUCGUCAUGCUAUAAAUCAAACAAAUGCCAGCUUUGAGAUGGAUAUUUCUCUACUGCGUAAAUGUUACCAAACAAUGUUUGUGCCUUAGAAAUUCUUGUUGCUUUUUUGUACCUGGCAGCCAUUUGUGUGUUGCUCUUAUGAUUUUUGUCAUUGGACAAACCAAUAUUUUUGUACCUUAGGCGAAUCUUUUGUCACUUUCCGAACUUACCAAGCUUCUAAAUAUACAGACAGCCAUUUGCUCAGUCAAAAAACAAAGAAAAAAAUUUUGUGUUUGAGAAUGUGUCUAUACCAGCAACGAGCACAAAAUACAAUUAUUUGGAAGCCCAUGGGCCUGCUUGGGAUUACACAGUAAUGUGCAAUAGUGAGAGGCACAAGAGAAAAUUAUUGAUCCGGUACACGAAUAAUUUUAUGCCACUUUUGUAAUAAAUUUUUUUUUUUGAUAUUAUAAGAAAAGAUAGGUCCUUUUACCGAAGACGAAUAUGUUAAAGGGUUAACAAAAAACAAAGUUAGUUACGUUCAAUAAUACUAAAUUUAUGGCUAACUCUUAACAUGUUGAAGCAAAACGUUACACGGUUGCAAUAAAAGAAAACCCUCGUGAUAAAAGUAUUUUGUUUGUCGGAAAAAUAUCCCAAACAUUACAUUUUUGCAUGUACAUUCUGCUUAUAUGAUGUCGGUAAGUUCUCCUCCGAACUUUAUAAAAAUCGUUUGAAGAUCUAUUUUCGAAAGGA